GAUGAACGCUGGCGGCGUGCUUAACACAUGCCAGUCGAACGGAAAGGCUCCUGCUUGCAGGGGUACUCGAGUGGCGAACGGGUGAGUAACACGUGGUUGAUCUGCCCUGCACUUCGGGAUAAGCCUGGGAAACUGGGUCUAAUACCGGAUAGGACCACAUUUUGGAUGGUGUGGUGGAAAGUUUUUCGGUGUGGGAUGAGCUCGCGGCCUAUCAGCUUGUUGGUGGGGUAAUGGCCUACCAAGGCGUCGACGGGUAGCCGGCCUGAGAGGGUGUACGGCCACAUUGGGACUGAGAUACGGCCCAGACUCCUACGGGAGGCAGCAGUGGGGAAUAUUGCACAAUGGGCGCAAGCCUGAUGCAGCGACGCCGCGUGGGGGAUGAAGGCCUUCGGGUUGUAAACUCCUUUCGCUAGGGACGAAGCGCAAGUGACGGUACCUGGAGAAGAAGCACCGGCUAACUACGUG
rnacentral:rRNA from 1 species